UACAGAGGUCUCGAGCGUUAGGCGGAAUCACUGGGCUUAAAGCGUGUGUAGGCGGAUUGCUAAGUACCUUGUGAAAUCCCACGGCUUAACCGUGGAACUGCUUGGUAUACUGGCUGUCUUGAGCCACUUAGGGGCAACCGGAACAAACGGUGGAGCGGUGAAAUGCGUAGAUAUCGUUUGGAACGCCAAUGGUGAAAACAGGUUGCUGGGAGUGUGCUGACGCUGAGACCCGAAAGCCAGGGGAGCGAACGGG
rnacentral:rRNA from 1 species